rnacentral:tRNA from 1 species
UAUGGUGAUUUCCGGGGUUGAUUUGAAGUCAUCCUUUUCAUAUUUGUUUAUGAUGCUCGCUAG